rnacentral:tRNA from 1 species
GGAGAGGUGUCCGAGUGGUUGAAGGAGGCGGUCUCGAAAACCGUUGUACGGGGCAACUCGUACCGUGGGUUCGAAUCCCACCCUCUCCG